rnacentral:rRNA from 1 species
AGCCAAGUAGCGUGCAGGACGACGGCCCUAUGGGUUGUAAACUGCUUUUGCGCGGGGAUAACUUCCGCCACGUGUGGCGGCUUGCAGGUACCGCGUGAAUAAGGACCGGCUAAUUCCGUGCCAGCAGCCGCGGUAAUACGGAAGGUCCGGGCGUUAUCCGGAUUCAUUGGGUUUAAAGGGAGCGUAGGCCGCGCGUCAAGCGUGCCGUGAAAUGCCGUGGCUCAACCAUGGCACCGCGGCGCGAACUGUCGCGCUUGAGUGGGCUCGAGGCAGGCGGAAUUCGUGGUGUAGCGGUGAAAUGCUUAGAUAUCACGAGGAACCCCGAUUGCGAAGGCAGCCUGCCAGCGCCGCACUGACGCUGAAGCUCGAAGGCGUGGGUAUCGAACAGGAUUAGAUACCCUGGUAGUCCACGCGGUAAACGAUGGACGCUCGCCGUGGGUCCUUCAUGGUUCCGUGGCCAAGCGAAAGCGUUAAGCGUCCCACCUGGGGAGUACGCCGGCAACGGUGAAACUCAAAGGAAUUGACGGGGGCCCGCACAAGCGGAGGAACAUGUGGUUUAAUUCGAUGAUACGCGAGGAACCUUACCCGGGCUUGAACUCAGGAGGAAGGAGGCGGAGACGCCGACGCCCCUUCGGGGGCCUCCUGGGAGGUGCUGCAUGGUUGUCGUCAGCUCGUGCCGUGAGGUGUCGGCUUAAGUGCCAUAACGAGCGCAACCCCCCUCCACGGUUGCCAUCGGGUGAUGCCGGGCACUUUGGGGACACUGCCACCGCAAGGUGCGAGGAAGGUGGGGAUGACGUCAAA